rnacentral:rRNA from 1 species
UACAGAGGGUGCUAGCGUUACUCGGAUUUACUGGGCGUAAAGCGUGUGUAGGCGGUUCGUUAAGUCGGGCGUGAAAUCCCUGGGCUCAACCCGGGAAUUGCAUUCGAUACUGGCGAGCUAGAGUACGGUAGAGGGCGGCGGAAUUCCGGGUGUAGCGGUGAAAUGCGUAGAUAUCCGGAGGAACACCGAUGGCGAAGGCAACCGCCUGGGCCUGUACUGACGCUGAGACACGAAAGCGUGGGGAGCAAACAGG